rnacentral:rRNA from 2 species
AGUCGAACGGAAAGGCCCUUCGGGGUACUCGAGUGGCGAACGGGUGAGUAACACGUGGGUGAUCUGCCCUGCACUUUGGGAUAAGCCUGGGAAACUGGGUCUAAUACCGAAUAGGACCGCAUGCUUCAUGGUGUGUGGUGGAAAGCUUUUGCGGUGUGGGAUGGGCCCGCGGCCUAUCAGCUUGUUGGUGAGGUAAUGGCUUACCAAGGCGACGACGGGUAGCCGGCCUGAGAGGGUGACCGGCCACACUGGGACUGAGAUACGGCCCAGACUCCUACGGGAGGCAGCAGUGGGGAAUAUUGCACAAUGGGCGCAAGCCUGAUGCAGCGACGCCGCGUGAGGGAUGACGGCCUUCGGGUUGUAAACCUCUUUCGCCAGGGACGAAGCGCAAGUGACGGUACCUGGAGAAGAAGGACCGGCCAACUACGUGCCAGCAGCCGCGGUAAUACGUAGGGUCCGAGCGUUGUCCGGAAUUACUGGGCGUAAAGAGCUCGUAGGUGGUUUGUCGCGUUGUUCGUGAAAACUCACAGCUUAACUGUGGGCGUGCGGGCGAUACGGGCAGACUUGAGUACUGCAGGGGAGACUGGAAUUCCUGGUGUAGCGGUGGAAUGCGCAGAUAUCAGGAGGAACACCGGUGGCGAAGGCGGGUCUCUGGGCAGUAACUGACGCUGAGGAGCGAAAGCGUGGGGAGCGAACAGGAUUAGAUACCCUGGUAGUCCACGCCGUAAACGGUGGGUACUAGGUGUGGGUUUCCUUCCUUGGGAUCCGUGCCGUAGCUAACGCAUUAAGUACCCCGCCUGGGGAGUACGGCCGCAAGGCUAAAACUCAAAGAAAUUGACGGGGGCCCGCACAAGCGGCGGAGCAUGUGGAUUAAUUCGAUGCAACGCGAAGAACCUUACCUGGGUUUGACAUGCACAGGACGCCGGCAGAGAUGUCGGUUCCCUUGUGGCCUGUGUGCAGGUGGUGCAUGGCUGUCGUCAGCUCGUGUCGUGAGAUGUUGGGUUAAGUCCCGCAACGAGCGCAACCCUUGUCUCAUGUUGCCAGCACGUUAUGGUGGGGACUCGUGAGAGACUGCCGGGGUCAACUCGGAGGAAGGUGGGGAUGACGUCAAGUCAUCAUGCCCCUUAUGUCCAGGGCUUCACACAUGCUACAAUGGCCGGUACAAAGGGCUGCGAUGCCGUGAGGUGGAGCGAAUCCUUUCAAAGCCGGUCUCAGUUCGGAUCGGGGUCUGCAACUCGACCCCGUGAAGUCGGAGUCGCUAGUAAUCGCAGAUCAGCAACGCUGCGGUGAAUACGUUCCCGGGCCUUGUACACACCGCCCGUCACGUCAUGAAAGUCGGUAACACCCGAAGCCGGUGGCCUAACCCCUUGUGGGA